rnacentral:rRNA from 1 species
AUGGGGUUCGCCGACCAAGCGAGGGCGUGGAUUCCCCUUCUCAUGCUCUCAAUCAUCGGCAUGGCCACCAUCAACCAGUUCUUCACUACCUCAAGUAUGCACUCUCUCUCUCCUUCCCCCUCCUGGCCGCCCUUGGAUCCCUCUCCUACUCCUUCGUUUCUCGUUACAUUGAUAGGUGACCUCCUCGCCGGUGCUUUCGAUUAUGGACAUGCCCAUCAAGCAUAUCCUCCAUGGCACCACACACGCAUGUCCCAGGAGGCACGCCAUCAGCUAAUUACCUUAUUUGUGCUCAAUUUGCAACCCACAGGUAUGCCUAUGGGCCAAAAGUUGUCCCCACCAGGUAUCGUAGGGGUGGGUACGUUCCACCACUCCUAUACCUGA